UAUCAAUAAGCGGAGGAAAAGAAACCAACAGGGAUUGCCUUAGUAACUGCGAGUGAAGCGGCAAAAGCUCAAAUUUGAAAUCUGGCGUCUUCGGCGUCCGAGUUGUAAUUUGGAGGGAUAUCUUCGGAGUUGGCGCCGUCCUAAGUUCCUUGGAACAGGACGUCAUAGAGGGUGAGAAUCCCGUGCCUGGAUGGCUGUCCAUCUCCAUGUGAAGUGUCUCCGACGAGUCGAGUUGUUUGGGAAUGCAGCUCAAAAUGGGUGGUAAAUUUCAUCUAAAGCUAAAUAUUGGCGAGAGACCGAUAGCGCACAAGUAGAGUGAUCGAAAGAUGAAAAGCACUUUGAAAAGAGAGUUAAAAAGUACGUGAAAUUGUUGAAAGGGAAGCGCUUGAGACCAGACUCAAUCUUUGGUGAUCAGCUGUGCUUCUGUACAGUGCACUUGCCAUUGAUUGGGCCAGCAUCGGUUCUGAUGGUGGGAUAAAAGUUUGAGGAAUGUGGCUCUCUUCGGGGAGUGUUAUAGCCUCGAUCAUAAUGCUGCCAGUUGGGACCGAGGACCGCGCUUCGGCUAGGAUGCUGGCGUAAUGGUCUUAAGCGACCCGUCUUGAAACACGGACCAAGGAGUCUAACAUCUAUGCGAGUGUUCGGGUGGAAAACCCUUGCGCGUAAUGAAAGUGAACGGAGGUGGGAACCCUCACGGGUGCACCAUCGACCGAUCCUGAUGUUUUCGGAAGGAUUUGAGUAAGAGCAUAGCUGUUGGGACCCGAAAGAUGGUGAACUAUGCCUGAAUAGGGUGAAGCCAGAGGAAACUCUGGUGGAGGCUCGCAGCGGUUCUGACGUGCAAAUCGAUCGUCAAAUUUGGGUAUAGGGGCGAAAGACUAAUCGAACCAUCUAGUAGCUGGUUCCUGCCGAA
rnacentral:rRNA from 1 species